AUGGCUGACCUCAGACCCCUCAUGAAGCCCAAGAUUGUCAAAAAGAGGACCAAGAAGUUCAUCUGGCACCAGUCAGAUCGAUGUGUCAAAAUUAAGUGUAACUGGUGGAAACCCAGCAGUAUUGGCAACAGGGUUUGGAGAACAUUCAAGGGCCAGAUAUUGAUGCCCAACACUGGUUAUGGGAACAAAAAAACAAAGCACAUGCCGCCCAGUGGCUUCUGGAAGUUCCUGGUCCACAAUGUCAAGGAGCUGGAAGUGCCACUGACGUGCAGCAAAUCUCCCUGUGCGGAGAUCGCUCACAGUGUUUCCUCCAAGAACCACAAAGCCAUA
rnacentral:lncRNA from 1 species